rnacentral:misc_RNA from 1 species
UCCGGUUUGUCACCGGCGGUCUCCCUAGAGUUCCCAACUAAAUGAUGGCAACUAGGGACAAGGGUUGCGCUCGUUGCGGGACUUAACCCAACAACUCACGACACGAGCUGACGACAGCCAUGCAGCACCUGUCUCCAGGCUCCCGAAGGCACCCCCGCAUCGCUGCAGGGUUCCUGGGACGUCAAACCCAGGUAAGGUUCUUCGCGUUGCAUCGAAUUAAUCCACAUGCUCCGCCGCUUGUGCGGGCCCCCGUCAAUUCCUUUGAGUUUUAGCCUUGCGGCCGUACUCCCCAGGCGGGGCGCUUAAUGCGUUAGCUACGGCACAGAGACCGUGGAAUGGCCCCCACACCUAGCGCCCACCGUUUACGGCGUGGACUAC